GACGAACGCUGGCGGCGUGCUUAACACAUGCAAGUCGAACGGAAAGGCCCUGCUUGCAGGGUGCUCGAGUGGCGAACGGGUGAGUAACACGUGGGUGAUCUGCCCCUUACUUUGGGAUAAGCCUGGGAAACUGGGUCUAAUACUGGAUAGGACCAUGCUGUAGGUGGUGUGGUGGAAAGAUUAGUUUCGGUAAGGGAUGAGCUCGCGGCCUAUCAGCUUGUUGGUGGGGUAAUGGCCUACCAAGGCGUCGACGGGUAGCCGGCCUGAGAGGGGGGACGGCAACAUUGGGACUGCGAUACGGCCCAGACUCCUACGGGAGGCAGCAGUGGGGAAUAUUGCACAAUGGGCGCAAGCCUGAUGCAGCGACGCCGCGUGGGGGAUGACGGCCUUCGGGUUGUAAGCUCCUUUCAGCCAUGACGAAGCCCGUGUGGUGACGGUAGUGGUAGAAGAAGCACCGGCUAACUACGUG
rnacentral:rRNA from 1 species